UACGAAGGGUGCAAACGUUAUUCGGAAUCACUGGGCGUAAAGGGUGCGUAGACGGUAUGUUAAGUUCGUUGUUAAAGGCUCCGGCCUAACCGGAGUACCGCAAUGAAAACUGGCGUGCUAGAGGGUGAGAGAGAGAAGUGGAAUUCCUGGAGUAGCGGUGAAAUGCGUAGAUAUCAAGAGGAACACCUGAGGUGAAGACGGGUUGCUGGGCCGACACUGACGCUGAUGCGCGAAAGCCAGGGGAGCAAACGGG
rnacentral:rRNA from 1 species